CUUAGAACAAUGAAGAAACCCUGUCUCAAACAGGUGGAAGUGAAGACCUACCUACCCAGGAGGUUAUACUCUGAUCUCCACGUGAGCACCUCCAUUCACAUAAAUGCACACAAGCUUUGGAGACGGAGUUGUUUGCAGAGUGACCUCAGAUCUGCUCAGGAUUAGGAACUAGGAAGCAAACGGGUCAUGAGAACGACUUUUAAAUAUUCUUCUGUGCUUUCCUGCUGCUGCCUGACAGAGGCUCUGAGUUCUGACUACAACAGAGAAGGCGAAGGCGGGAGCUGCCUGGAGCAAGGCCUGUGUUGAAUCCCAACCUCCUUUCUGCCUGAUUUUGUGUGGCUUUCCAAACCUGAAUUUCCAUUUCCUUAUCUGUAACUUACUUUACUGAAAAGAUUGACCGAGACCUUUGACGCUCCUAAAUUAGGGAAUGACAGGAGUCGGCACUCAAAACUGUGAGCCCUCCUUCCUGCCCCUUCCCCUGGACGAUGACGAAGAAAACACCUCCGAGUCGUGAUGACUGUAUCUUUACUGCUCCUUUGACAGAGAUGCAGUCAUUGAUUGUGCUGGUUUCAAAGCCAGGCAGCAAUUUGCAGUAAGGCCGGGUUACCAUCAUCCGUUAAUUCAAAUGUCCUUACCGAAACUUCAACACAUAUCAACCUAACUUCCAAAUAGCAGCUUUAGACUUAACUGUCUGCCAUUCAUUUGACAGGUAGUUUUGGAAAAUCUAUCAGGCAGAAGACAUUUGGUAUUUUCAAUUAAAAGUUGUAUCACAGUUGUCUAUCGCUGCGAAGAGAUUCCAGGACCACAGCAACUCUUACAAACAAAGGGAUGGCUUACAGUUUCAGAGGUUCAGUCCAUUACCAUCAUGGUGGGAAGCAUGUUGGCACGCAGGCAGACAUGAUGCUGGAGAAGGUGCUGAGAGUUCUACAUCUGGAUCCACAGGCAGCAGGAAAUGAUAGUGAUACUGGGCCUGGCUUGGACUUUUGAGACCUGAAAGCCCACCUCCUGUAACACACUUCCUCCAACAAGGCCACACUUCCUAAUCCUUCUCAAGUAGUGCCACUCCCUGAUGACUAAUCAUUCAAAUCUAUGGGGGUCUUUGGGGGCCAUUUUUAUUCAAGCUACCACAACAAUUAUCCUUUUAUUUGCACCUGUUUAUGUGUGUGGGCUAUGGUGUGUGUUUAGAGAUCUAAGAACAACUUUUGGGAAUUGGUACUCUUCUUCUACCAUGUGGAUCCCAGGGAUAGAACUCAGAUGGGGGAGCAAGUGCCUUCACCUGCCGAGCUGUCUCACACACCACAUUUGUCAUUCUUUUUUUUUUUUUUUUUCAAGACAGGGUUUCUCUGUGUAGCUUUGGAGCCUGUCCUGGAUCUCACUCUGCAGACCAGGCUGGCCUCGAACUCAGAAAUCCUCCUGGCUCUGCCUCCCGAGUGCUGGGAUUAAAGGCGUGAGCCGCCACCAUUUGCCAUUCUUUUAUAGAACUUUAUGAAAACAUUUUAGCCAGAGAGCCUCGUUGACGAGCAGUCAUCAGGAAAAUAAAGGCCACCUUUAUGGUAA